AUCGUGUAAAAUGAAUGUAUGUGCUCGUAAGUGAAAUAUAUGCCAAGUUCCAACUCAAUAUGUUGGAUUCUAAUAGACCUGGAUCUUGUCUUGUAUACAAAGAAAUCGAUUCCCAAGGGGCAGGAUUACUAGAUGAUUAAAACGAAGCCCUGAUUUUGAAGAAAACAAAAAUGGCUUUAAAAUAAGAUCUCUACAAAAAAAAGGAAUCAAACUAUACUUGCCAACAAGUGAACAAAAAAUCAAGUUCUCAGUUCGUAUUAAAGGAGGGAUGUGAGAGAGGUUUUGCAAUCUUAUCAAUUACUGUGGAGAGACAGAAUCAGGUAUCACCACACUCAGGAGUAUGAAAAGAAGAACAGGAAAUCCUUUUUCUUCAGUUUGCACUUGAAUGGACUCAAACAAAGAGUGGAGAUAUGCACCCCAUUCCUGUUUAUAGUUAAUAAUGUGGAGAUUAGUAUAGAUGUGAUUUCAUUUGCCUUGCUUGAACUAAUGGAUGUAUUAUGUAGAAAUCACCUGAACCUGUGCUAGAUCAACAAAGAAAAUGGAAAUGUAUACCUCAGGACUGAAUUCCGAGAAAAUUGGACAGUUCCAUGCUAUUUAAUGAGGCACUAAGAAGAAAUACUACUGCCAAUCAGGGAGAGUAAGAAAACCAGAGGACAAGAGAAGAAAUAAAAUUUAGGCCAUUCUAAUACUUGUUGAAACAUAAUUUAUUAUGGUGUAAAAGUAUAAGAUAAGACACAAUAUAUCUCACAGACAUUCUACACAUUUUCUGAUUGAAUUUAGGAUUAACCAUGGAAAUGUUUAAGGAAUGUAUGGCCAUUAUAUCAAUAGGAAACUGGCCUUUUAUAUUUGUGGUCGUAUGCAUUUAUGUGUAUGUAGAGGAGGGCCUUUUUAUUUUAUUAAGGAUGAAUUGCAUGCAGGAAGUACCUCUUUGAAUUAUAGUUACUUGCUCAAUUGAUGAUACUGUAUAAACAUAAAGUCUAAUUUUUGUAUGAGUGUGAGCAUAUGUGGAUGUGUGCUUGUGUAAGUGGAAGGAGGUAAAAUUUAAUGAUUAGCAUUUGCACUUUGGUUUGUUGCCUAGAAUGUAAAGAGGUGGAGUAAACUGUCUUAAGCCAUUUCAUCUCUGUUAUUACUAGAGAUUAUUAUUCACAAAGGAAGCAAUUCUAAAAUAGAAUGACUACUGCAAAUGAUCCCCAAUUAAAUAUAAUAUUUAAUGCAAUUGAGCCUUUUAAAUUAAGAUGGUACCAAUGUCUCAAAAUAAUGAGAGUCAGCUCAUGUGAAAUCAGUCUUCAGAUAGUUGAAAAGUCAUAUUAUAACCCUUCAGACUGCUUCACUCUGUGACAGGAUGUGAAUGAAUUGUAGACAUUGUUGUCAAAGAGAGCAGGGAAAAUUUGUAUUCUAACCAGAACUUUUUGAUCCUCCCAAUAAGUUACAUGUGGUUCCCCCCAGUUUUCUUCAACCUAAAUUAUAUAACAAAAAAAAAAUCAGAUGUUAUAACAGAUAAGUUAGUGAAUAUUUGCAGAAGAUUAACAUAUUUUUUUGUAAUCACCAUGUGCCAUAAUAAUUUUGAAACUAUUGUUCUCUGGUAUUUUGUAUUCAUUUGUCUUUAUCUUGCUGAUUAACUUUGUAGUUGAAAUUUUUACCUCUUCUUUCUAUGUGACAAUCAACUGCAGUUGGUAUCCUAUCUAUAAUAUUACAGGGAUUUUUGUCUUUAUUUAUGUUCUUAUAAUAAAUUGUAUGUCUACCAACUAUAUAAUUAUAUUGUACUGAAUAUUUUUCUGUGACCAAAAUAAU
rnacentral:lncRNA from 1 species